rnacentral:lncRNA from 1 species
AAUGGUGUCAGCCUUUCAAUUCUAUUCAUGUUAACCAAUGUAAGCCUGUAAAUGUUAGCCAAUAAUAUGAGUAUUCCUUUGGAAACCAUCGUACAUCUUUGUGACCGCAUCAGACAAUUCUGCCAAACCCCAAACCUUACCUUAAUGGAGUUAAUGACUAGUAUCAGAAGGUAUAGUAUUAAGGGAUGCCAAUAGGAUGAGCAAAAUCAUAAACUAUUUGACAAGAAUUUAUUUUUUAUUUUUUUUGACUAUUUGACAAGAAUUUUUUUGGAUUAGUCGGUAUGAAUAUUCAAAGCUUGUACCCUUAAGAUAACCUCUUCACAUCAACCAGUGUCUCAUGUUUUUGUGUGUACCCUAACCAGGCUAGAUAUCGACCUAAUGAAGUUUGUUGAAUAAUAAAGUAAUUGUCGGGAACAAUAAAGGAAGUGAUAAGUAAAAAGAAACCAACUUGCGAAGAAUGUCACUGAUUGAAGUAAGGGUCGUUGCUGGACCAACACAGUCAUCGCAAUCAAACUCAAAAAUGAGGAGAGUAUGAGUAUGAAAUAACUGUAAGAGAUAAGAAAUAAGGAGUUGCAGAUAUGUUAGAUGGUAGUAAAGUAUUAUAUAUAUAGUGGUGCGUCUAACGUCACGAAAUGAUGUGAGAUUUAUUUUGUCAUGCCAUAUGGUAGAAGAAGUAAUAAAAAUAUGAGAAAAUGUCGGAUAAGAUGAAACCAAAUGUGAUAGUGUUUGGGAAGUUGUAAACUAAGGUCGUAAUGACGCAGUCAGAAGAUGACAAUAUGUAAUAGAGAUCAGAGUGCGCAGCAAGUAUUGGUUGAUAAUGUAGUCAGCAGGUUGGUCUUUAGGCUAAAACCCUUUGAGAAGAGGAAAGUUUUAUUCUAAGGAAAUUGAUGUGAAUGAACGUAAAACGAUUGACGAAUGUGAGACGAGUAAAUUAUGCAUACGUUCACACUUAAAACUUGUAUUGCUGGUAAUGGAGUACCCGUGAGAACAAAGAUUGUGAAAGGAAAGGGGUUCAACGAAGAAAGUUUGACGUGGUGAACCAAUAAGAUUAGAUAUGCUCGGUGUUGAAUUGAAGGGUGCAGGAAAUGGGAAUAUUGCGCCAUAAGCAGUUGUAUCGAUGAAAAUAACAAAAAGAGCUAAUAUAAGAUUAGCGCGCACCUAAAAGUUGUAUUAUGGGCCGAGAUUAUGAGUUAGAUGUUAUGAAAUGAACGAGUAGGAUUUUCAAAGGUAACAUAAGCAAGUGCUAACGCAGUGAAGAGUGAUGAUUAGUAACCUAUUGAACUAGCAAUCAUG